CCAGCCCGCUCAGAAACUUAAAUGAAUUGACGGGGCCCGCACAAGCGGAGGAGCAUGUGGUUUAAUUCGAUGAUACGCGAGGAACCUUACCUGGGCUCGAACGUAAGAUGACUGUAGGUGAAAGCUUACAUCUCUUCGGAGCAUUUUACAAGGUGCUGCAUGGUUGUCGUCAGCUCGUGCCGUGAGGUGUCGGGUUAAGUCCCAUAAACGAGCGCAACCCCUAUCAUUAGUUGCCAUCAGGUCAAGCUGGGGACUCUAAUGAAACUGCCUACGCAAGUAGUGAGGAAGGUGGGGAUGACGUCAAAUCAGCACGGCCCUUACGUCCAGGGCUACACACGUACUACAAUGGCCGAUACAAAGGGCAGCGACACUGCGAGGUGAAGCCAAUCCCGUAAAAUCGGUCUCAGUCCGGAUUGGAGUCUGCAACUCGACUCCAUGAAGUUGGAAUCGCUAGUAAUCGUAGAUCAGCAAUGCUACGGUGAAUACGUUCCCGGGUCUU
rnacentral:rRNA from 1 species